rnacentral:rRNA from 1 species
GGUUGACCUCGGAUCAGGUAGGAAUACCCGCUGAACUUAAGCAUAUCAAUAAGCGGAGGAAAAGAAACCAACAGGGAUUGCCUCAGUAACGGCGAGUGAAGCGGCAACAGCUCAAAUUUGAAAUCUGGCCCCAGGCCCGAGUUGUAAUUUGCAGAGGAUGUUUCUGGCGAGGUGCCUUCCGAGUUCCCUGGAACGGGACGCCACAGAGGGUGAGAGCCCCGUCCGGUCGUGCGCUAAGCCUAUGUGAAACUCCUUCGACGAGUCGAGUAGUUUGGGAAUGCUGCUCUAAAUGGGAGGUAUACGUCUUCUAAAGCUAAAUACCGGCCAGAGACCGAUAGCGCACAAGUAGAGUGAUCGAAAGAUGAAAAGCACUUUGAAAAGAGGGUUAAAAAGUACGUGAAAUUGUUGAAAGGGAAGCGUUUAUGACCAGACUUGGGCCCGGUCAAUCAUCCAGCGUUCUCGCUGGUGCACUUGGCCGGCCCAGGCCAGCAUCAGUUCGCCCCGGGGGAUAAAGGCUUCGGGAACGUGGCUCCCUCGGGAGUGUUAUAGCCCGUUGCGCAAUAUCCUGGGGCGGACUGAGGUUCGCGCAUCUGCAAGGAUGCUGGCGUAAUGGUCAUCAACGACCCGUCUUGAAACACGGACCAAGGAGUCGUCUUCGUAUGCGAGUGUUCGGGUGUCAAACCCCUACGCGUAAUGAAAGUGAACGUAGGUGAGAGCUUCGGCGCAUCACCGACCGAUCCUGAUGUUCUCGGAUGGAUUUGAGUAAGAGCAUACGGGGCCGGACCCGAAAGAAGGUGAACUAUGCCUGUAUAGGGUGAAGCCAGAGGAAACUCUGGUGGAGGCUCGCAGCGGUUCUGACGUGCAAAUCGAUCGUCAAAUAUGGGCAUGGGGGCGAAAGACUAAUCGAAC